rnacentral:rRNA from 1 species
UAACCUACCCAUCAGAGGGGAUAACACUUGGAAACAGGUGCUAAUACCGCAUAACAGUUUAUGCCGCAUGGCAUAAGAGUGAAAGGCGCUUUCGGGUGUCGCUGAUGGAUGGACCCGCGGUGCAUUAGCUAGUUGGUGAGGUAACGGCUCACCAAGGCCACGAUGCAUAGCCGACCUGAGAGGGUGAUCGGCCACACUGGGACUGAGACACGGCCCAG